ACAUCAAGCCUCCUCUAGAUUCUAGGUCACUCAUACUUAGAGUCACAGAUAUGAACAUGGUGUCAGUUCUUAGAUAUUUAUCAUAUAGUAUGAGGUUCAUAUAUCAUAUCCUUGAGAGCUUUUGGACUUUUCAGCCAUAAAAAAUACAUCAAAUACAUGUUAAUUUUGGGCAUGCUCCCCUCUGGAGCCAAGACUACAGAAUCCACACAGGGAUCAACGGAAGCAGGCCCACCUCCCUUUCUGACAGGCCACCUUUCCACCUCCCUCAGCAGUGGCAGAUUUCCUUGGGAUAGUAACGCAUCUCCCUGACUUCAGCGGGUCCUGCCCUGCAUAUUGCUGUGCCCCACAGGGCGUGUCUCUUCACAUUUCUGCUGUGUCCCAAGUGGACUGUGUGAGACAUGACAAAGGAAUCCAGCACUGUCAUUCUCCCCAUCAUGCUCUCAAACUGAGGACAAAUUGAUGCUGUUAAUCCAUCGUAUUGUAACUUGGGAGUUACUGUUAUUUAAUGAUUUCUAACCUAUCUGGCAAGUAACCACACAGCCUAUGUCACAGAUGUAACAGGUUCGCUUUAAUGAAAAUUUAAAUGGUACUUAAAGUCAACUACUACUUAGAAGCCUGUAGACAAAACAUUUCAAAAAAGCCAACCUAUACCCAAGAGGAAAUGACUACCAUAACAUAGUACCACAUACCCAGAAGAACGGCUUGAGUUAAAAAGACUGGCAAUACCAAUUUUGGAGAGGAUGCAGAACUUAUAAAGCUGCUAGUAGGGUUGAUUUUAACAAGACUGCUGUGAAAAUGGACCUCUGGGGCACUGGAAACUACAACCCAGGAGGCUUAGCAAGUAGCAGAUAAUGACUGCUGCGCCAGUAUGGCUGGUUGAGCUUACAAAAUUUAACAAAAUUUAUAACACUAUUAAAGGUAAAUUCUACAACAUGUAAUGAAGUAAUCCUUUCCUAUUUGUUGAAAGAUAGGAAGGAAGCAAGGAAGGAAGAAAAAGGAAAUGAAAGAAAACAAAAGAAGGAAAGGAAGGAAGAAGGAAAAGCUGGGGGAAAAAAUUCGCCAGUACACAUUUUUAAAAAAGCAAAGGAAGUUCUUCAGGUGGAAGAAAACGAUAACAGAUGGAAACCUGGAUCUACCUAAAGGAAUGAUGAUUACAAGAGGAAUAAAAAGUACCAGAAAUGGUGAAUGAGAGUAAAUCUACAGGCUUUUUUUGACCACUUAAAGCAAAACUAGGAGCUCCUGGGUGGCUCAGUUGGUUAAGUGCCUGCCUUUGCUCAGGGGCUCAGGUCAUGAUCUCAGGGUCCUGGGAUGAAUCCCCUCCUCAUUGGAUUCCCCUCAGCAGAGAAUCCACUUGUUUGCCCCUCCUCUUGCUCGUGCUCUCUCUCAAAUGAAUAAAUAAACCCUUAAAAAAAAAAGCAAAACUAAUAAUGUAUUACAACGUUUUACAACAUACGUAAA